rnacentral:misc_RNA from 1 species
AUAUCGUGACGUUUAACUAAUUCUUGCAGCGCCCAGCUCAAGCGUUCCAGAUUUAAGUCCCGACCUUCAAUUUCGUAGUAACCGUGAUUGGACACACCACCCAGUUCUAUCGCCCCACUGCGACCCACCCAGAAGGCGUGCUGC